AAAGAAAAUAACAAUGAUUCCCUCAGUAACGGCGAGCGAAGAGGGAUAAGCUCAAAUUUUAAAUCUGUUGGGUUCCACUUAACAGAGUUGUAUUUUGAAGAAACGUUUUCUGCGUCCAGGAUUAGCCUAAAUCCUUUGGGAUAAGGUAUCAUGGAGGGUGAGAAUCCCGUUCACGGUUAAUCUUAAGGAAGCUCUACGAUACGUUUUCCAAGAGUCGAGUUGUUUGGGAUUGCAGCUCAAAAUGGGAGGUAAAUUUCUCCUAAGGCUAAAUAUUGGCGAGAGACCGAUAGCGAACAAGUACCGUGAGGGAAAGAUGAAAAGAACUUUGAAAAGAGAGUUAAACAGUACGUGAAAUUGUUGAAAGGGAAACGAUUGAAG
rnacentral:rRNA from 1 species